UGCAGAAGGAUAAGAAGCGUGCCGCGGA
rnacentral:sRNA from 1 species